rnacentral:rRNA from 1 species
UACGUAGGGGGCAAGCGUUGUCCGGAAUCAUUGGGCGUAAAGAGCUCGUAGGCGGUUUGUCGCGUCUGCCGUGAAAGCCCGGGGCUCAACUCCGGAUCUGCGGUGGGUACGGGCAGACUAGAGUGAUGUAGGGGAGACUGGAAUUCCUGGUGUAGCGGUGAAAUGCGCAGAUAUCAGGAGGAACACCGAUGGCGAAGGCAGGUCUCUGGGCAUUAACUGACGCUGAGGAGCGAAAGCAUGGGGAGCGAACAGG